rnacentral:rRNA from 1 species
CCUACGGGAGGCAGCAGUGAGGAAUAUUGGUCAAUGGACGGAAGUCUGAACCAGCCAUGCCGCGUGCAGGAAGACGGCUCUAUGAGUUGUAAACUGCUUUUGUACAAGGGUAAACCUGAAUACGUGUAUUCAGCUGAAAGUACUUUACGAAUAAGGAUCGGCUAACUCCGUGCCAGCAGCCGCGGUAAUAAGGAGGAUCCAAGCGUUAUCCGGAUUUAUUGGGUUUAAAGGGUGCGUAGGCGGAUUGAUAAGUUAGAGGUGAAAUGUCCGCGCUUAACUCGGGAACUGCCUCUAAUACUGUUGAGCUAGAGGGUAGAUGAGGUGGGCGGAAUUUAAGGUGUAGCGGUGAAAUGCUUAGAGAUCAUACAGAACACCGAUUGCGAAGGCAGCUU